UAAGAACUUUUCAGAUAUCUGAUUUUAUCUUCACGAUCCUGGGAGGUAAUACUGUUGUUAACUCUAUUUUACAGUUGAGGAAACUGAACUAGAAAGAGGUUAGGUUACUUGCCCAGACUCACAGCAGCUAAUUGAGUAUCUCAGGAUCUCAAGACUUUCGGACUCCAGUCUCACCAUUUAAUCUGAGCAAUCAUUUAAACCUAUUUGCAGUUGAAGAAAAAAGCCUCAGUUGGAGAUUUUUGGCUAACUUUUUAAUCAUUAUAUCUCUUUUUCCCUCCACCUCUACUAAGGAAUGAUGGAAGGGGAGAUAUAAUAGCAUUCAAUUAAAAAUUAUUAUUAAGAGUCUCCUAUUUGCAGAGUACUCUGCUAGGUGCUGGGUAUACAAAGAAAAAAUGAGACAGCAUGUGACUUAAGUGUUAAAAAUUUAUCUGAGGAGUAUGCACUCCAUUUAUAUAUGUUUGAAGCUUGCAGGAUGCUUUAUACACAUUAUUACUACUGUUUUGAUAAUCAGUAUCCCUCUGGUUUAUAUAAUUCAUUACCAAAAGAGAUCUAUCUAUGACCUCUUCCUUAUUUUGCAUAUGCUUUGUGUUUACUUAACCUGUUUACAUGUUUCUUCCCUACUUAGACUGUAAUUCCUGAAGGGCAAAGGUCUUUUACUUUUCUUUAAUUUUUUUUUUUGAUCUGCAUUUCCAUUAUCUAUUUGGCAGCUAAUGUUUAAUAAAUACAUAAAUUCGUCUAAUUUGAGCGUCAGAGCCACUGAGAAGGCAACUAGUGUUAUUCCCACUUUAUAGUUCCAAAAAUUAAGGUUAAAUAACUUGCUCAUAAUUAUGCAGUUGGUAAGAAACACAGGUUUUUCUGAGUCAGUCUAGCACUCUUCUGUACUAUACCAUAUUUUUGGGUAAGGCCACCUGUACUAGACCUUUGCUCUCUUCACUUCAUGCCUGCUUAAGCUGACUCACUGGUAUGUCUGGCUGGUUUCUAGCUGCUGACAAGUUCCAAGUUCUGCAUCUUCCAGCUCCUAAGAGAAUGAAGGCCAUAACUUCUUCCCUCUGUCCCUGGUCCCUGAUACCAUGUACCAACUCCCCAGAAGCAGCUGGCGAACCCACAUUAACCAUGCCGCCACCACCUUUGAAGAUGAACGACAUCGACGUCUUGCCGUUGCGUGUGAACACCGACACCAGGGCACAACCGCACCUCCUGUAACAACUGGCGUCCCAUGCCCCAUGUGCCACAAACUCUGCGCCGCAGUCUUUGGACUUCAAAGCCACACGAGGGUACAUCAAUAGAUGAUAAUGCACAAAGACAAUUGUCAUUCUCUGGUCACCGAGAGACUACCACUAACUAACUGAAACUUUGCUAAAGUUAUUUCAACUAGCUAUUUUAGUUGAUUUUCUGGUAUUCUCUAGGUAUACCAUCAUAUCAUUUGUAAAGUGUUAUAUUUCAGUAGAUCAUUGAGUCACUGACUCAAAGGAGCAAUAUCCUUCUAGGUAUCCCUAGAACUUAGCACAGAGCAAUGAAAACUUGUAGGCUGCCUAACUGCUGCCUUAAGAGUUCUGCCCUUUGACCUUCAGACUGUUUGCCUCAGCUAGCACUUGCUGGACUUAACUCUCAUUGGAACCCUUUAUGCAGUUUGAUUAGCUAUUCUUUUAUAUUGCUUUAUGCUACUCUUAUUUUAAAAUUUGCUAAUGUACUUAGCUUCUACAUUUGGAGAUUCUACAGAUUUCCCUAUCCAUAAAGUCUAAUAUUCCUUGGUUUAUCUCUGUCUGCCUGCCUCUCUCACUCUCCUCUCUUUCUAUUGCUUUUUUCUCCCAUUAUUUCCAUUCCUCACUUCCUUAGCCAAUUGUUGUAAUUUUGCUGCUUACACUCUGUGGAUCUAGCCAGGCUUGCCAGUAUCCUCUGAUGUUAAGGUAUUGUAUCUAACCUCAGUUGUUCCUUUUGUUAGACAUUGGUAGAGCUCUACAAUCAUAUUCUCAUAACUGAGUUUACCAUCUAACCUUCAGUUAAUUUCAUCAUUUUCAUCAUGACCUAUCAUUGAGUCUUUAAACUUCAAUGCUGGAAAUUAUCUCAGAAAUCAUUUAGUUUAACCCCCUUAAUCCAUUUUGAGUGGGGAAUCAGUGACUAAGAGAAGAUCAUAAAAGUAGCAAAUUCUAUUUGGAUUUGGAUUUGGAAACAGGUCUUUUAAUUACAAAUUGAGUAUUCUUUUUACAACCCCUUGACUCACUUCCCAGGAACUGAAAAGAAUAUGUCUAUAUGUUAGUUUAUAUUUAAAUAUAAUACUAUGAAGUACUGUACUAUAUGAAUUUUGUGUCAAUGUAGGAGCAACAAGGCUCAGAAUAAAAUAAGGUAUCAUUGGAGGUAAAUUCUCUCU
ensembl:lncRNA